UACGGAGGAUGCAAGCGUUAUCCGGAUUUAUUGGGUUUAAAGGGUGCGCAGGCGGGGGAUUAAGUCGGCGGUGAAAUUUUGCAGCUCAACUGUAAAAGUGCCUUCGAAACUGGUUUCCUUGAGUGUAGAUGAAGUAGGCGGAAUUUGUGGUGUAGCGGUGAAAUGCAUAGAUAUCACGAGGAACUCCGAUUGCGCAGGCAGCUUACUAAACUACUACUGACGCUCAGGCACGAAGGCGUGGGGAUCAAACAGGAUUAGAUACCCGCGUA
rnacentral:rRNA from 1 species